rnacentral:rRNA from 1 species
UACGUAGGGGGCAAGCGUUAUCCGGAUUUACUGGGUGUAAAGGGAACGUAGACGGAUGGACAAGUCUGAUGUGAAAGGCUGGGGCUCAACCCCGGGACUGCAUUGGAAACUGCCCGUCUUGAGUGCCGGAGAGGUAAGCGGAAUUCCUAGUGUAGCGGUGAAAUGCGUAGAUAUUAGGAGGAACACCAGUGGCGAAGGCGGCUUACUGGACGGUAACUGACGUUGAGGCUCGAAAGCGUGGGGAGCAAACAGG